UGGGGAAUAUUGCACAAUGGGCGCAAGCCUGAUGCAGCCAUGCCGCGUGUAUGAAGAAGGCCUUCGGGUUGUAAAGUACUUUCAGCGGGGAGGAAGGGAGUAAAGUUAAUACCUUUGCUCAUUGACGUUACCCGCAGAAGAAGCACCGGCUAACUCCGUGCCAGCAGCCGCGGUAAUACGGAGGGUGCAAGCGUUAAUCGGAAUUACUGGGCGUAAAGCGCACGCAGGCGGUGUGUUAAGUCAGAUGUGAAAUCCCCGGGCUCAACCUGGGAACUGCAUCUGAUACUGGCAAGCUUGAGUCUCGUAGAGGGGGGUAGAAGUCCAGGUGUAGCGGUGAAAUGCGUAGAGAUCUGGAGGAAUACCGGUGGCGAAGGCGGCCCCCUCGACGCAGACUGACGCUCAGGUGCGAAAGCGUGGGGAGCAAACAGG
rnacentral:rRNA from 1 species